rnacentral:rRNA from 1 species
UACGAAGGGGGGCUAGCGUUGCUCGGAAUGACUGGGCGUAAAGGGCGCGUAGGCGGUUUGUACAGUCAGGUGUGAAAUUCCCGGGCUCAACCUGGGGGGCGGCACUUGAGACGUAGGAACUGGAGUGAGGAAGAGGGUCGUGGAAUUCCCAGUGUAGAGGUAGAAAUUCGUAGAUAUUGGGAAGAACACCGGUGGCGAAGGCGGCGACCUGGUCCUUUUACUGACGCUGAGGCGCGAAAGCGUGGGAGCAAACAGGAUUGAGAA